rnacentral:piRNA from 1 species
AGAUAUGGGCCCGCAUUGCACACGAGCAC